rnacentral:rRNA from 1 species
UACGGGGGGUGCAAGCGUUGUUCGGAAUUAUUGGGCGUAAAGAGCGUGUAGGCGGCUGAAUAAGUCAGAUGUGAAAUCCCUGGGCUUAACCCAGGACGUGCAUUUGAAACUAUUCAGCUUGAGUAAGGGAGAGGAAAGUGGAAUUCCUGGUGUAGAGGUGAAAUUCGUAGAUAUCAGGAGGAACACCGGUGGCGAAGGCGACUUUCUGGCCCUAUACUGACGCUGAGACGCGAAAGCGUGGGGAG